rnacentral:lncRNA from 1 species
AAUGUUAAGUUAUGUAUGAUAUGACAGGAAGACCAGGACCCCAUGCUACGGCCUGGCACAAAUGAUGCUGGGACUAUUUGGUGACAAGUUCACCCAACCCUUAUGUGAAUUGUCUGUGUUAUGAUGCAUUUCAUUGGAGCAUGUUUGUUAAUAUGUUUUUAUGGUUCUACUCACUGGGCUUUUAGCUCACCCCUCUCCCUUUAACCCCCAGGCUUGCAGGUACAGGAUAGAGCAGGAGGUCGGAUAGAGUAAAGUCAUG